rnacentral:tRNA from 1 species
GUCUGGGUAGCUCAGCGGUAGAGCGUCCCCUAGGGGAAGGUCGUGGGUUCGAAUCCCAUUCCAUACC